GGCUCUGUGGCGCAAUGGAUAGCACGUUGGACUUCUAAUUCAAAGGUUGUGGGUUUGAGUCCCACCGGAGUCU
rnacentral:tRNA from 1 species